rnacentral:rRNA from 1 species
GUGCCUAACACAUGCAAGUCGAGCGGUGCAGACUGGCAGGCUUCGGCCGAAGGCUGCAUAGCUGGCGGAAGGGUGCGUAACGCGUAGGAACGUGCCCCCUGGAGGCGGAUAGCCGCGGGAAACUGCGGGUAAACCGCCAUAGACUCGGGAGAGUAAAGGCCGGAAGGCGCCAGGGGAGCGGCCUGCGUCCCAUCAGGUAGUUGGUAGGGUAACGGCCUACCAAGCCUACGACGGGUAGCCGGUCUGAGAGGAUGGCCGGCCACAAGGGCACUGAGACACGGGCCCUACUCCUACGGGAGGCAGCAGUGGGGGAUAUUGGACAAUGGGCGAAAGCCUGAUCCAGCGACGCCGCGUGGAGGACGAAGCCCUUCGGGGUGUAAACUCCUUUUGUCGGGGAAAAAGGGCUGAUGGUACCCGACGAAUAAGCCCCGGCUAACUACGUGCCAGCCGCCGCGGUAAUUCA